rnacentral:rRNA from 1 species
UUUUGGAGGGCAAGUCUGGUGCCAGCAGCCGCGGUAAUUCCAGCUCCAAUAGCGUAUAUUAAAGUUGUUGCAGUUAAAAAGCUCGUAGUUGAAUUUCGGGAUCAGUAUGUUGGUCGUGCUUCGGUACGUACUGUCAUUACUGGUUUCUCCCUUCUGAAGAACCGUUGAUGUCAUUAAUUUGGUGUCUUGGGAAUCAGGACUUAUUGUUUUAAAAAAUUUAAGUGUUUUAAGCCGGCAA